ACGGGAGGCAGCAGUGGGGAAUAUUGCACAAUGGGCGAAAGCCUGAUGCAGCGACGCCGCGUGAACGAUGAAGUAUUUCGGUAUGUAAAGUUCUAUCAGCAGGGAAGAUAAUGACGGUACCUGACUAAGAAGCACCGGCUAAAUACGUGCCAGCAGCCGCGGUAAUACGUAUGGUGCAAGCGUUAUCCGGAUUUACUGGGUGUAAAGGGAGCGUAGGCGGCUUUGCAAGUCUGAUGUGAAAGCCCGGGGCUCAACUCCGGUAUUGCAUUGGAAACUGUAGAGCUAGAGUGUAGGAGGGGUAAGUGGAAUUCCUAGUGUAGCGGUGAAAUGCGUAGAUAUUAGGAGGAACACCAGUGGCGAAGGCGGCUUACUGGACGAUUACUGACGCUGAGGCUCGAAAGCGUGGGGAGCAAACAGGAUUAGAUACCCUGGUA
rnacentral:rRNA from 1 species